GUAUUUGUAUAGGGGCCUGGUACUCAGAGGAAUCCUGUUAUAUUGCUGACUUUCCAGUUUCAAGCUAGCAUGUUGUCUGAGCAAUUUGGCACCUUCCCUGUUAUACAAUGCAGCACUGUGAUCUGUUGGGUACUACAAAAUACAGUGUCUGAAGGGGCUUAUAAUAAGCUCAUUUUCCUCAGAUGCGACACAUUGCUCUUAACUUGGCAAAAGCAGGUGUUAAAAAUUAUCAUAGGGAAGAGUCUCACACCGGCAGGAAAAUAAACUACAUAACCUAGGAGGUGUUCCUAUGAUUGUACUAUUCCUUAGAGGACAGAGAGCAAGAAUUAAAAUAGACCAUUCACUGCCUUUUGCACUGGUGAUGGUUGUUUCAAUUCCCAUUCUGGUCAUUCACGAUAGCCAUAGGGUUUGCCAAUGGAAAUUACUUUUCUGAACUUAAUGAAUUAGAGGGGGUUGAAAAUCCAUGGAUACAAUUUUAUGCUUUAAUGUAGGUGUGUUUGAGUUUUAUGUACAAGCAUUUUGUGUUAGCUUUGUGUUAGUUUUAGAGUCAUGGUUGAAGUUGUCAGGGAAGUCAUCUGGUCCAACCCCCCCAGCUCAAGCAGGGUCACCUAGAGCCAGUUACCCAGAAGAGUGUCCAGACGGCUUUUGAAUAUCUCCAAGGAGGGGAACUCCACAAUGUCUCUGGACAGCCUUGUUCCUGUGUUUGAUCACCCUCAAAGUGAAGACUUUUUCUUACGUGUUUCAGUGUGUGCCUGUUGCCUCUGGUCCUGUCACUGGGCACCACUGGGAAGAGCCUGUCUCCAUCCUCUUAGCACCCUCCCUUCAGGGGUUGAUUGAGUUCCCCCUCAUUGAUGAGGUGUCCCCACACUGAUGAGGUAGGUCCCCCUUGAGCCUGAUCUUCUGUGGGUAAACAUCCCCAGGUCUCCCAGCCUUUCUCAUAGGAGAUAUGCUCCAGAUCCUUAAUUUGAACUCCUCUUGAUCCAGUUUCAGAGUCUUGAUCUGAUUUCAUUUACAUACUUACUAGAAAUUAUACAGAAAGAAUUUAAAUUUUUUCCUAAAGUCCAUUCAUCAAAUAAACCCUAGAUUGGGCAGCCUAGGUACUCUUUCAGGGAUGCUUUAGAGUGACUCUGUUCAGUAGUAGACUGCUCCAAACACAGAACGCUGUCAUGCUCCAGGCUCAUCUGUUUUGGAAGUGGUUGUUUGACCCCCCUUUCUCAGGUAGGUUAUAUCUAGAAACAGUAAGCAAAGGGAGAUUGAAUGGGACCUGUCUUUAAAAGAAUUAAUUUAUCAUAUGCAUUAAAAGUUCUAAAUACAUGUGUGGAGUGAUUGCCAUCCUUCCUUUCCAGGCAUUUGGUAUGUAUGGAUUCUUGAAAAUAUGAUGGAUGCUGGCUGAACAGCUAUCUCUUGUUGACUAAUGGUAUGGUGUUAUUUCUUAGCUCAUGAUUUAAUGUUUUCUAGCCUGCUGGAUAGAAGGUAACCAGAUUGAAACGUUUUUAAUACCUUUUUUGUUUGAUGGAAAAUGGCAGUUUUCAAGGAGCAACAUGUCACAAAGUCACGUCAACUUCAACACAAUUUUCAGUUACAUGUUUAGCGAACUAAUUUAAAAUAAAAGCAGAUUUUUAAUUUCAA